AGAGUUUGAUCCUGGCUCAGACGACGCUGCGCGUGCUUACACAUGCAAGUCGAACGGAGAUAGAAGGAAGCUUGCGAAUUCUAUUCUUAGUGGCGGACGGGUGAGUAACGCGUGGGUAACCAACCCAUAACACCGGGACAACCCUGGGAAACUGGGGCUAAUACCGGAUACGUUCUUCUUAGGGCAUCCUGGGAAGAAGAAAGGUGGCCUCUGAAAAUGCUGCCGAUUAUGGACGGACCCGCGUCUGAUUAGCUAGUUGGUAGGGUAACGGCCUACCAAGGCGACGAUCAGUAGCCGGCCUGAGAGGGUGACCGGCCACACUGGGACUGAGACACGGCCCAGACUCCUACGGGAGGCAGCAGUGGGGAAUAUUGCGCAAUGGGCGAAAGCCUGACGCAGCAACGCCGCGUGAGUGAGGAAGGCCUUCGGGUUGUAAAGCUCUGUCUUUUUGGACGAAACCUAAUUUGUUAAUAGCGGAUUAGAUGACGGUACAAGGAAAGGAAGCCCCGGCUAACUACGUGCCAGCAGCCGCGGUAAAACGUAGGGGGCGAGCGUUGUCCGGAAUUAUUGGGCGUAAAGCGCGUGUAGGCGGAAACUUAAGUCAGGUGUGAAAACUCGGGGCUCAACCCCGAGCCUGCAUCUGAAACUGGGUUUCUUGAGGACGGGAGAGGAAAGUGGAAUUCCUAGUGUAGCGGUGAAAUGCGUAGAUAUUAGGAGGAACACCAGUGGCGAAGGCGACUUUCUGGACCGUAACUGACGCUGAGACGCGAAAGCGUGGGGAGCAAACAGGAUUAGAUACCCUGGUAGUCCACGCCGUAAACGAUGGGUACUAGGUGUAGGAGGUAUCGACCCCUUCUGUGCCGCAGCUAACGCAUUAAGUACCCCGCCUGGGGAGUACGGCCGCAAGGUUGAAACUCAAAUGAAUUGACGG
rnacentral:rRNA from 1 species